rnacentral:misc_RNA from 1 species
GUACUACUAUGUCAUUUGAUAAUCAAUUUUAUAAUACAUACGUGAAACAUAGUAAUUUAUACAAUUUUUAACAUAGCAAAGAUAAAAUAGAAUGCAUUAGAAUACAUUGGAUUUUUGAAAAUUGGCGCUUCUUUUAUUUAGUUGAUGUACUUGCCACAGGAGAGCGUUGGUAACCUAUUAUUAUUUCUACAUAAAUAUUUGUUUGUUAACAUCGGAAUUCAUAAUUAGAAUGAAUUGAAUGAAUGUUUUAUUUUUAUAAAUGUUUACCUCGUCGAAAUAAAUUGAGAUAUAUAUAUAUAUAUCUAUAUGUAAUAAAUUUCGAAUAAUAUUAAAAUUAUGUCGAAAGAAUUAGUGAAUAUUGACGGGAAUGUUAAAAGAGUUCAGAAGGAAAACCUAACCCCAUACAAAGUUGCUAUUGUUAUGUUGAUAAAAGAAUAUUGCAAUGAAAGUCGUAAAGCUAUCGUGGUAAGACGUGAUUUUUGUUUAGCAGCAGUAAAGUUGAUUCAGUCACCCGAUAUGGAAUUGUAUACCUUAUUAAAUAUAUUAUAUAGUAGCGAACAUAUUUAUUCUUUUGGACACGAGUUAGAACUUCAAUUAAAUACAUUGUUAGAGAAAGGUAUUGAGGGAUUGUUAGAUUUAUUCGAUAAUCUUGGAAGAUUAAUGAAAUCUACGUUAGAUCAUGCUAUUGCUGUGCCUUUACUAAAUAAAAAUUCUGUUCUCGGGUUAUAUGUAAGAAGAAUAAUAAUAUUUUUUGAAAAAUUGCCCUUCGAUCAAUCCAUUUUGUUAUAUGAAGAUCUUAAGAACUAUGUUAAGAAUAAAUCUAAAAGCCCUGAAAAUACCGAUAUAUCCUCUUGUUUAAAAUUUGACGAACCCUACAUUUACAAUGAUAAAAGUACUACCGUAUGGAGUGGAAGGCAAGCAGAAUUAUUAGUCGCGCAACAAGCGCAAGCAUUAAAAAUGGACGAACACAAGGCCAUGUCACCGGUCGAUCUACAAAUUCUUAUAAAGAAACUUCUCCGCUCUAGUCCUUAUUACGCCGAAGCUCAUUAUCUGAGCUAUUUGAAUUGCUUACGCAUAAACGAAUACUGCAGUGCAAUAGAUAGUCUUUAUCAUUGUUUCGACAGAUUAGCACCAUCCGAAAAUCGUUCUACGCCUGAAGACAAAUCGAGGAUGCUGAGAUAUGCAGCGUUAAAUCUUGCAGUACUCCAUGCUCAUUUUAAUCAUAAGAAAGUAGCGGAGGAAGCUUUGAAAGAAGCUAUUAUGAUGGCGCAAGAAGCAGGGGAUAAUGUUUGUUUGCAGCUAGCGCAUGCUUGGAUGUAUUACCUCACCAGCAAUAAGAAAGGUCCUUUAAUAGAAAGAUCUCUUGGAAAAGCUAGUAUGUUAGGAAUUACAUAUACCACGGGCUUAGGAUUAAUUGCUCUUUCUCAUUAUUCUGCUUUGGAAGCUAAGCCUCCUUCUCAAAUUUUUGAGACAUUAAUGAAAUCGGAUGUGUUGAAUUGUCAACAUUCUAUGAUCGAUCUAAUGUCAUUGACUUAUUCUGAAAAAUCAGCGCUCUGGGCGUAUUAUGGAAAAAUGGAACUCUCUUCGGUUUGUUCUCAACUUCUUCUUUUGCAUAACGCAGGAAGUAAAAGGCAAAAUGUAUUCAAUGGAACUUCAACUUGUCAAGCGGUUGUAAACGUUGCUAAUAUUUUAGUAGAGUUUGGCGAAUACAAUCUCGUCGAUAUAGUAUUAGCUCAUGCAAAAGAAAGAUUUCCUAAUCAUCCGUCGAACAAGACAUGGAUGUUGUGCGAACAAUUAUAUGAAUUUACAAAAAUGAUGAGACGCGAAAGGUGGAGCGAAGCUGAUGCAAUAGCUUCUCGCAUAUCUAGUUUAGAUCCAUUGGAAUCUAAGUUUAGGCAAGCAGAAGUUUCUUUAGCCAAAGGAGAUUAUCCAAAUACUUUGCAGUUAAUCGACAGUAUUGAAAAGGUCUCCGAUAUAACAGCAGAAAAUCGAGUACGCGCUAUGAUUCUUUUGAGUCAAAUAAUGUGCGCAUCUUUCUUAUCGGGAAAUGAAACAGUGGGAAUCAAUUCGUUAGUGAUUCUUAACAAAGCAUUGGAAUUAGCUACCCAUAAUAAUUUAUCCUAUUACGAAGCUCUUAUCAAAAUGCAUCUGGCAAAUAUACAAUUACUCAUGGGGCUACCUUCAUUGGCAAUGAACUUAGUCGAUGAAGCUAUCACGCAUACGUUAGCUCAUGGUGGAUGUUAUGAACAAGGGAGAGCACUUAUUUUGUAUGCUAAAUGUUUAGUCAGUACUGCUACCUCAACUUUGACAAAAUUACGAAAGGAAAUAAUCUUAAAUGCUAUCAAAGCGUUGUCUAAAGCAAAGGAUCACUUCAACAAAGUCGAAGCAUUUGGUAAAAUACGUAGUGUAUUGAGUUUACAAAGUAUAAUGUACAAUGAGAUAGAUAUGAAAUUUGAACGGAAUCAGUGUUCAUUAGAAUUACGCCGGUUUGAGGAACAAUUUCCUACAAAAUUGGAUAACAUUUGUUUAUAUUAAAACCUGAUGACGAUUCUCUUGUCAAAUUGAAAGAUAUGAUUUUAUUGGAAGAAAUAACUUUAAAUGAUAUAUAUAAGCAUUUUUAUUAUGCUAAAGUUGUAAAAAUUUCUAAGAAGAAUAUUGAUUUUGUCAUAAUUAAUAAUUCUCUACUUGAAUUUAAUAAGAAUAAGAGAUAUAACAUCAGUUUAAUAGAGUCGGAAUGGCCUAUGAGAAUAUGUCAUUACGCUUUGAAACAAAUUCGUUGUAAUUAUUUAACGUCAUUGAUAUAUCCAGAAAUUGGAACGAAUAGAAAUUGUUCGAGUUUGUAAGUUUGUAUUUGUCGUUAUUAAUAAACUUUCUUUAAAAUA